UGGGGAAUAUUGGGCAAUGGAGGAAACUCUUACCCAGCAAUGCCGCGUGAAUGAUGAAGAUCGUAAGAUUGUAAAAUUCUUUAGUCAGGGAUGAAGAUAGUGACGUUACCUGAAGAAUAAGCUCCGGCUAACUACGUGCCAGCAGCCGCGGUAAUACGUAGGGAGCGAGCGUUGUCCGGAAUGACUGGGCGUAAAGGGUGUGUAGGUGGUUUGGUAAGUUAAAAGUGUAAUGCCUGGGCUUAACUUGGGCGCUGCUUUUGAUACUGCUAGACUUGAGUGCAGUAGAGGUUAAUGGAAUUCCUAGUGUAGCGGUGGAAUGCGUAGAUAUUAGGAGGAACACCAGAGGCGAAGGCGAUUAACUGGACUGUAACUGACACUGAGACACGAAAGCAUGGGGAGCAAACAGG
rnacentral:rRNA from 2 species